CCUAGCAGCAACAAAUUUUUUGUAAUGAAUAACUGACUUUUCUUUUGUGAGUUUUACUUUCGCCGCUAUAUCGGUGUUUCGUGGUCGCGACGGUAAGCAAAAGUAAUUUUAAAUUGGAGGCUUUGGACUGGACUCUCUCAGCUUGAGCUUUAUUCGAAGAUGCGACAGUAUAGUGCUGUAAGAAGGCGGAGCCGUAUUGAAUCCAGACGGACACACGCAUAUAGAUGAGCAGACAAACACAAAGACCCGUCCUCCACUGCUACGAUAACCGGAAAUCGGAAUUGGUAAAACAGAGAAUAGAAUGGCAUCAUCGGUUUAAAAGGGGAUUUUUGGAUGAACGCGGUAUACACAUGAUCAUGCAAAACACAGGUUCAAGAUACAGUUGGCAAACCGAUGUGAUUUCGAUAAUCUUGGAGGCAUGAAGGAAAUUAUUUCCUUAGAUCAUGGCUGAAAAUUUUGGUGACCGAGUAUACUGGUAUCGUGACACAUAAUUUUUUACAAUUGGACACCUCAAUCUCCGUUCUUUAAAUACUAGAUUUCAUGACC